rnacentral:rRNA from 1 species
UCAGRAACGAACGCUGGCGGCAGGCCUAACACAUGCAAGUCGAAACGGAUCCUUCGGGAUUAGUGGCAGACGGGUGAGUAACGCGUGGGAAGCUACCUUGUGGUAGGGAACAACAGUUGGAAACGACUGCUAAUACCCUAUGAGCCCUAUGGGGGAAAGAUUUAUCGCCAUGAGAUGUGCCCGCGUUAGAUUAGCUAGUUGGUAAGGUAAUGGCUUACCAAGGCGACGAUCUAUAGCUGGUCUGAGAGGAUGAUCAGCCACACUGGGACUGAGACACGGCCCAGACUCCUACGGGAGGCAGCAGUGGGGAAUAUUGGACAAUGGGGGCAACCCUGAUCCAGCCAUGCCGCGUGAGUGAUGACGGCCUUAGGGUUGUAAAGCUCUUUCAGCAGUGAAGAUAAUGACAUUAACUGCAGAAGAAGCCCCGGCUAACUUCGUGCCAGCAGCCGCGGUAAUACGAAGGGGGCUAGCGUUGUUCGGAAUCACUGGGCGUAAAGCGUACGUAGGCGGACUGAUCAGUCAGGGGUGAAAUCCCGGGGCUCAACCCCGGAACUGCCUUUGAUACUGUCAGUCUUGAGAUCGAGAGAGGUGAGUGGAACUCCGAGUGUAGAGGUGAAAUUCGUAGAUAUUCGGAAGAACACCAGUGGCGAAGGCGGCUCACUGGCUCGAUACUG